GCCAGCAGCCAUAUCACUCUGCAACUCACAACUAGUCCCCCCUGAAGCUAAGCAGGUAUGAGCCUGGUCAGUACCUGGAUAGGAGACCUCCCGGGGAAAACUAAGGUUUCUGCUUUCC
rnacentral:rRNA from 1 species